rnacentral:rRNA from 1 species
UAGGGAAUCUUCGGCAAUGGGGGGAACCCUGACCGAGCAACGCCGCGUGAGUGAAGAAGGUUUUCGGAUCGUAAAGCUCUGUUGUUAAGGAAGAACGAGUGUGAGAAUGGAAAGUUCAUACUGUGACGGUACUUAACCAGAAAGGGACGGCUAACUACGUGCCAGCAGCCGCGGUAAUACGUAGGUCCCGAGCGUUGUCCGGAUUUAUUGGGCGUAAAGCGAGCGCAGGCGGUUAGAUAAGUCUGAAGUGAAAGGCAGUGGCUCAACCAUUGUAGGCUUUGGAUACUGGUUUACUUGGAUGCAGAAGGGGAGAGUGGAAUUCCAUGUGUAGCGGUGAAAUGCGUUGGUAUAUGGAGGAAAACCUGUGGCGAAAGCGGCUCUCUGGUCUGUAUCUGACGCUGAGGCUCGAAAGCGUGGGGAGCGAACAGG